CCUACGGGAGGCAGCAGUGGGGAAUAUUGCACAAUGGGGGAAACCCUGAUGCAGCGACGCCGCGUGAGUGAAGAAGUAAUUCGGUAUGUAAAGCUCUAUCAGCAGGGAAGAAAAGGACGGUACCUGAGUAAGAAGCCCCGGCCAACGACGUGCCAGCAGCCGCGGUAAUACGUAGGGGGCAAGCGUUAUCCGGAUUUACUGGGUGUAAAGGGAGCGUAGACGGCAGUGCAAGUCUGGAGUGAAAGGCGGGGGCUCAACCCCCGUACUGCUCUGGAAACUGUACGGCUGGAGUGCAGGAGAGGUAAGUGGAAUUCCUCUUGUAGCGGUUAAAUGCGUAGAUAUUAGGCGGAACCCCAGUGGCGACGGCGGCUUACUGGACUGUAACUGCCGUUGAGGCUCGAAAGCGUGGGGAGCAAACAGGAUUAGAUACCCGUGUAGUC
rnacentral:rRNA from 1 species